rnacentral:rRNA from 1 species
UAAGCAAAUAGUGAAAGCGUGGGGCUCAACCUCGUAUACAUUAUUUGAACUGCUAAGCUAGAGGAUGAGAGAGGUAGCUGGAAUUCCCUGUGUAGGAGUGAAAUCCGUAGAUAUAGGGAGGAACACCGAUGGCGUAGGCAGGCUACUGGCUCAUUUCUGACGCUCAGGCACGAAAGCGUGGGAGCGACCGGGAUUAGAUACCCCGUUAGUCCACGCCGUAAACGAUGGAUGCUA